AGGAACCCUAUCAAACCAGACACCCCACAAAAUGCUUUAAACAGAUACUGGGGUAUGGGAGAAACUAAACAUGUGAUCAAUGAGUAGCAAUGAGGAACCCUGGAGUGAGGUCUCUAAACAUCAUUCCCCAAUAAAGGGAACCAGAGCUCCUUAAAGGAAUGGCUGAUUCCAGGUCGGUGGUAAGAAAUGUACAAGGUGGAAUGGAGUCAUAAUUCAU